AAAUUUGGACAAUGGGGGAAACCCGGAACCAGCCAUCCCGCGCGCAUGAUGAAGGCCUUCGGGUUGAAAAGUACUUUUGGCAGAGAAGAAAAGGCAUCCCCUAAUACGGGAUGCUGCUGAGGGUAUCCGCAGAAGAAGCACCGGAUCUAUACGUGCCAGCCGACGCGGUAAUAGAUAGAGUGCAAGAGUUAAUCGGGAAUACGGGGCGUAAGGCGGGUGUCUGCGGUUCGGAAAAAAUGAUGUGAAAUACCCGCGCUCAUCCUUGGAACUGCAUUUUUAACUGCCGAGCUAGAGUGUGCCAGAGGGGUGUAGAAUUCCACGUGUAGCAGUGAAAUGCGUAGAUAUGUGGAGGAAUACCGAUGGCGACGGCAGCCCCCUGGGAUAAUACUGACGCUCAGACGCGAAAGCGUGGGGAGCAAACAGG
rnacentral:rRNA from 1 species